rnacentral:lncRNA from 11 species
GAAGGAUGCAAAGCAGUCCUGAGAGGGCACAAAGGUAGAGUUCCAUGAAGUCCAUAGAAAACUAGGCAAACAGGGUUCUUAUUGGCAGAGAAUCUUCACUGUUGACAAAAGCAAGCUCCUUGCUUUCUGUGCUGAGCUGAAAAUUGGAGCCUCGAGUUGAACAGGCAUGCAAUGCAAAUAAUAAGGUGCCCAUGGGUCUGCAGUUUUGGUCCUUGUCAACUGAAUUAUGCUGGUAUUAUCAAGAAGAUGUUUCAGCAUUGCUACAUUGAAGAUGUUGCAAGAAGAAAAUCUGUGAUACAUUUUUUAAAAAUGUGCCUGUGAGAGAUAUAUGAGUAUAUAUGUGAACUGGGAAGACUUCAACAUAAUAUAGAACUCAUUUACAUUCUUACUACCCCCUCA